AGUGCAUUACUAAUGUUUUCUGUGCUUUGUUAUUGAAUCACUUUUCUAAUGUGUUAUAUUACAAAAUGCAUGAUAUGAAUGAAAUAAAUUGUUACUUUGAUAGUUAAUGUAAAUUUGCUUAAAUAAAAAUUUCCUAUGUUCAUAGAACAAAGUUUUCUGGGUUAGCCCUGUAUCUCUUCACAAGCACAAGUAAAAUAUUUGAAGAGUUUUUCCUUCCAAAUUUUAGUCCUUAUUCCUAGCUUUUCCUUUCAACAUCAUAAAUUUGUUAAUCUCUUAGUUCAUAACUCCCAUGAUUGCACAGGCACACGUAUCCAUAUGUGUUUUCCCAAAGCUAAGCAAAUCGAUUAUAAAUUUCAUUGGAAAGAACAAAUGAGUAAGGAUGAUGAGAAAUGCUUCCAAAAGGACAGUAGAGACUGGUAGUCUGCUAGUUACCGAAACAUAUUUUUAAGGCUCUGAAAUUGAAAGCAAGAUUGGUGCUUAAAAAGACAGACUAAUGGAACUGCAUACAAAUGAGAAGUAGAUGGCACUUGGAUUUUUAGUGUAAAAUGAAGGAAGACAAUACUAGAUGUAUUGUUUCUGUAAUGCCGAGGAUAAAUUACACAUGAGUUAGAUACUUAACGGUACAGAAACAAAACUAUAUACUAUAAAUACUAGAAAAUUGAUAAUUCUGUUAAACUUGGAAGUAGAAUAAUCAUGCUGUAACUCAAAAUGUAUAUACAGUAAAGGGAAGACUGAUUAAGUUUGGCAAUGAAAAUAAUAACUUUUCUGUAGCUGAAAACCUGAUAAAUCAAUGAAAAAAGUGACAAAUUAAAAGAGUAUUUGUAAGAAUAAGACUAUCAAUUCAGUAGAAAAAUUGAGAGGAAAUUUCAGCAAGUAGUUUACACAAAAAUUCCAAAUGGCUCUCAUACACAAAAAAGGAUGUUUAACUUUUAUACUGAUAAGACUAGAACUAUGCAAACAAGUACCACACUGAGAUAUCGUUUCUGAUCGUAUUGACAGAAAUUAAAGGUUAACAAACUCUUCUGCUGUGGUUGUCGAGAGAGAAAAAGGAAGCAGGCAUUCUGAAACACUGCUAGAAGAAAUGCAAAAAUAGUGUAAACUUUAGGGAAAAGAAUGGUAAUAUCUAGAAAAAAUUAUUUGUAUUCACCCUUUGGCUCAGUAACUCUUACUUUCAGGAAUCUGUUUCACUUAGUGCUGUACCAAAGGGAGUACUUCAAAUGUUCAUUUAUUUAACUAUGUAUCUGUAACAGGUUAUAACUGAAGGACAAAGUAGGUCCAACAACAAAAAUUAAUAGUAAGCCUAAGCUACUGGAGUAAUCAUAUAAUGGAGGUUAUGUUGGUAUUGUUAAGCUGUCUUUUCUUGGUGUGUUGUGAGGUAAAACAAAUGAGUGAAGAUAUCAUUGAGAACCUGGAUUUGAAGGAGAGACAGAUAAAAGAUAGCUAAGGUUAAAGAAAGCCUCUUUUGUGGUAGGGUUUUUUUUUUUUUUUUUUCCCUUAGUCUCCUGGCAGUGUCUGGAAACAAGCACUAAUCCAAUUAGCAGUGAAAAACCCAGUACCCAUACUGUAGUCUCAGAAUACCGCUUCCCACCAAAGUGAAUGAAGGCUUCUGAAAGAAUGGCUACUUCCAGGUCAUGGGCAUUAAAUAUACAUAUGAACCUGGAAUACUUUGUCAGUUCAGAGAAACAGGAACGUAUCAGAAACUUCCAGGGCCGGCGAUUUAGCUCAGCGGCAUAAGCCUGCCAAGUGUGAAGUCGUGAGUUCAAUCCCCAGUACCAAAACAAAACAGAAAGAAACUUCCAAAGAUAUUGUAUAGGACUCAGGAGCUAAAGAUAGAACUGUUUAAGGACCAGUAAGGAUAAUAACUAGUCUUUGAAAUACACAUCGUGUAUUUGAGCCUUAAGUUCACAGUAAUACUAAAGAAAACCAGACUAAUAGUAAUUGAUAGCUUUGGAGGCUGCUAAGAAAUAAACUCAUUUUCUAAACUGAUAAUAAAUGGAAAGACUCAAGCAAAGUUUGUUUUCCCUAUCUUUCCUAUGUGGACUGUAGCUCAGGGGAAUCAAGUAAUUCAUGGGAAGAAGUGGUUCAUUAUUGGCAUAUCCCCAUUGUUAAAAUACUGAAGAAUUAUCAAAUGCCACUAUGUCACCAAUUUGUAAUCUCUAAUGAAACAGAUUGCAUUAGAGAUUAUAUGCAGUAGGCAACCAGAUUAUCAAAUGCUUCCUGUUAUUAAUAUACCUCACUACUAUAAAGUAGUUUUGCCAGAAAAUUGAACUGAAUAUGCUCGGCCUGUAGCACUAAUUAUCAUUUUCCAGGAAAUGUAGGGGAAAGUAGAACAUGUUCAGAGGCACCAUGAAGAGUUUAUCAGCAAGACCCUGACUGUGAUGACUUCUUCAAUGAGUAAAUUUUAAGGGAAGGGCAUCAGGGAAGGCAAAUGUAUAGCAUAAAAUAUUUAAGAGAAUAGUGUUAAAGCAUAGAUCUUAUUUUGAUUAUGAGGACAUGGGGACAUUUGAAAACUGAUUGGAUAUUUAAUGAUAAAGAGUAAUUUUAGGAGGUUAAUAAUAUAAUUAUAUUUAUUUUAGAUAAUCUUACCAAUGAGAGACAGAAGCUGAAAUAGUAAUAUGUAUAAAGUGAUAAUAUAUCUACAGUUAGUUUUAAAAUAAGCCUACUGAAGGAUGAGAGGAUUGGGAGGGAUAUAGCUGAAACAAGACAAUCACAGAUCAGUUAGUUGACAGUUAAAGUCAGGUAAAAGAUACAUGGAUGCAUGUGGCUUCAUUACCUUUCCUCACUACUUUGUGUGUAUUUUAAAAUUUUGUAAUACAAUUUUUAUAAUUGUAUAUACUGCCCUUGGAAUACAGUACAUACCACUCUUUACUCAACUUUUUUUCCUUCCCUGCUGCCAAGGAUUGAGUCCAAUACCUCCCCACUGAGCAGCACUCCCUGUCCUUUUUACUUUGAGACAGGAUCUUAUUGUCAGUAGGUUGUCUAAGCUGUCUAAUGUGGGAUCCUCCUGCUCAGCCUCUCAGAGUGCCAGAAUUACAGGCAUCUGCUAUAUACCAUGCCUGACUUUUUCUUAGCGUUUUGUAAGUAUAGAACUAUUUGGGUGUUGAUGUUACCAACACAUUCAUGACAGGGUCGUAAUAUGUCUUUCAGCUGGUCAGAUUAAACCAUUAGUGAUACGUGUGUGACUAUCCCAUCGAGUGUAUUUUUAAAUUAAUUUUAUUAGUAAAAAGAAUCGUAAAAGUGACGACAUCUGUUUGUACUGCAGAGAUCCAUGUGUGGCACAAGUUGCUCAAAAGGACAGUCAUGCAAUUGAGGUGGUAUUUGAGUUGCUCCUUGUAGAAUAAAUGGGCCUUCAAAAGAAUGAGAAAGUAGAGCAUUCCAGUGUUGUAAACAGUAGGAACACAAUGUCUGAAGAAGAAUGUCAUGAGACAUAUUUUGGCAACUACAGGUAGUUCCAGCUGCACUGAGAGCAUAGUGCAUAAGAAGGAUCUUGAAUACCAAUGUUGAGCUUUUCAGUCUGUGAGGAUCUUAUCCUUGAGCCAAGAUCCAGCCACACUCCUGUGAUUUAUAGGAAGUAUCUUACUCAUGCUUUCUCAACCCUGUUAGUAGCGCUGCAUUGAAUGGAAACAGGCGCCGAGAGUACUCUAGUAACAAGAUCUAACUAUCAAGCUUAAGUUCCUUUCCCUGAUUGCAUUUGAAAAACCAAAAUUGUGGACUUCUUAUCAUUAAGAUCAUCAACAGCAGAUGGGUAAGGCUUGCUGUCAUUACUCUUAUGGAAGAAAUCCUUUGAAUUAAGUUGCACUUAAACAUAGGACAGGAAAAUCACUAAGUGUCUGCGGCUUCAGGGUUCAUAAAUGGGAACUGAAGCUUGCGUGCACACUGGGCCCGGGCAGGAUGACGAACUGCUGAGAUGGGGGCCAGAGGUUUAGUUAGAGGGGAUGGGAGGGUAGAGGUGGAGAAAGGGAAAUGAAGAAUUAGGUUCAGCUUUGGCUGUGGUGACAUUUGAGAUGGGUUACACAGACAUUCAAGAGAAGAUGUCCAGUUGGUUGUAGGAGUUGAAGUUCAGGAGCAAAGUCUGCCUUGUAGAUAAGAAAGUUGAGAGUCAUAUGCAUGAAAUACAGUCCACAUAAUAACAAACACAUUUUUAAAAUUUUGGAUGUAUGUGAAGUAAUAAUACCUAUUCCGUUAUCGUUUUCUCUCAUGCGCUUUUCCUCAUCAGGCUUUGGGGUUCUAUUUUAUAGUGUUUGCAUUUUCGGAGACUCUACAGAUAGAAGUAAAAUGGACCUGAAUUCAUAUUCCCCCCCAGGUUACCUGGCAGAAAUCAUUCUUUUGGAGGGGCAAAGCUCCUAAUCCAAGCCAGGCAGGAGCUCAAAUAAUGUCCCACUUAAGCAAGAGUCACAGUUCUCAAAGUAAUUCAAUAAUGCACCAAGAGCCCGGGAUUUAGCUCAGUGGCACAGGUACCUGCCUGACAAGCACAAGGUUGUAAGUUUGAUCCCCGAUACCCCAAAUAACGAUGACAACAAUAAUAAUAAUGAUGAUGCAUCAGGAAACAGUCUUUUAGGAGCAAAUGUCAGUAAGCAUGACAAGCAGUGGAACUAGACCUAUAACUGCCACUGGGGAGUUACUAGAUACAUGAAAAUGUCAUGAGGAAGGCAGACACUACAGAAUGUCUAGGCACAUUUGAAAAAGAACAAAUGGAACUUCUACUAAUGAAAAAUAUCAUCUCUAAAAGAAAACACUUAAGGGUGAGUGAAAGCAUGAUUAGACAUGACUGAAAAAGAAUUUGUGAACUGAAGAACACCAUGAAGGAAUUAGCUUGCAGCCAUCCCAAGGGGAGAAAGCAGUGGAUAAUGUGAAAGGGAAGUUGAGACAGGAAGGAGAAACAAGAUUCAUCUGGUAACCCAAAAUGAAGAGGGGACGAAGAAGAGGUAACAUUCGAAGAAAAAGUGCCAGUUUUCUAGAAUUUAGUCACAUAAAUGAUUCAGUACUUCAUUAGGCAAUGCUUUGAACAAUUGGCUAGGCUUCUAUAAAAUAGCAAUAAAAUAAUUAUUAGCAUCUAAGAGAGUUUUGCUUUUAAAAAAUAUAAUCAAUUUCAAUCUAUUUUUAGGUUUCUUUUUUUUUUUUUUUUUGUCUUUUUCCUUUUUAUCGGUACCAGGGAUCGAACUCACGACUGCCUGCUUCCAAGGCAGGCGCUUAUGCCGCUGAGCUAAAUCUCCAGUUCCCUAUUUUUAGGUUUCUUUAAUGAAUGAUAGAGCUUGGCUGUUUCUGUGUAAGGAGGACAGGGUUUUGGUAUCAGUAAAUAAUGAGGAAGACCCAGAACAAUAUGGGUAGGAAUAUCCUUGGAUCACAUUUAUCUCUCAGGCUUCUAGCUCUGGCAGUCUGAAUAAGUUACUGACAUCCAUUUGAAUAUGGACAGUAUGAUCAAGAGCCGGACGACAUUUGGUCUCAUCACUGUGGUCUUUUUUCCUGUUAAUGCUAAUGCGCUAUUUUCAUGUGGGACAGGCAGUAUUUUAAGCUUCUGGAGCAUAUUUCUCUGAAGGUUUUUUCUUAAAUUUUUGUAUUCUGCCAACUGAAGGGAAAAUUUUGUUUACCAAAGCACUAAGUGAGAACAGUCUUAAUCCUUGUUUUUAUUCUUUUACAGCUGAUCACUUUUGUGAUUUAGUUAUAUUCUUUCACAUAUAAUUUGUUUUUUAUUAACAUUUAUGUACUGUACACAUUGGUAAUAAUUGGCUAUGUCUAAAUAUGCCUGACAUUUCUGAUAAUUUAUUCAUUUUGUAUUGAAAACAAAUUUAUAGUUUGAUGGAGAGUAUUUUUAAAUAACAUUUUUCUUACUACCUAUUUUUUUUAAAUCUUGCAAUCUUUGUUAAUGUAUGGUCACUAUUUAAAGCGAUUAGGAGAUUGAAAUUUAUCAUAAAAAAGAAUAGUGCAUCUAAUUAUGAAUCUUUUUAAGUAAAGGUUAAACAAUGAUUAAAUUACAUGGAUAUGAAUUCAGUCUUAAAACUAAGAGCUGCUUUUAUUAAUGCAUAUGUGCAUGCAUAUAUAACACAAUUUGAUUCUUUUCAAAUUGUCAUUACAGGAACUCAGGGGUAAGAACAAAAGCAUGUCAGUUGAGUUAUGGAGAGAAAGUUAUGGCAAAAGUAGAAUUUGUAAAUAAUUCUUAUCUUGACAUGUGUAUUUUAAGAUAAGAGGGUAACAGUACAGUGAGAAGAACUCUGCCCCGGAAAUCAAGUUUGUCUUUGUGUUUUUUUCUGCUCUGUCAUGAGAACUACUUGAGAGUAAGUUGAUGUAGAUGAAAUUUAAGGCUUAUCUCUAGCUUGAGAAUUGCUUCAUAAUUCAUUUUCGUUUGCUUUUUUAAGUUAUAGGCACAAUAGUAUAGCAUAUAAAUUAUUUCCACCUUGGUUGAACAAAUGAGUCUCAGAACAGUAGUUGUGUAAGUAUUGAUAUACUUAAUUUAACAUGGAAAAUUGAAUAAAAAUAUGCAUUAUAGAAUUAGUAAAGAAGACACUUUGAAAAUGUUAAAUAAUAGAUACAAUUUCAAAAUGUCUUGAAGGGCAAUUUGACAUCUUUAUUACAGGUUAUUACAUACAAAAAGUAUUGCUAAUAUUUAUUGCAGGUUAUUACAAGUUCUUCAGAUAUUUUCUAUUUAAAAUGAGCAUGGUUUACUUUUUCAUCAUUGAAAAAAUCAAAUCUGUUAAAGUAACAAAAAGAAAAAAGUUCUGUACAUGAGAAGUAUUCCUUUCUUUCUUCAGUUAUUUAAGAUUUUUUUGACACGAAGCACAGUGGAACAAUCCCUGGCUGGAACAGUUCUGUGAAACACUUAGGCAUGGGGUCUGGAACUGCCAUCACUAGGUCUGCUAGGUACAUAGUGAGUCCCUGCGGUACUUGGUAUGAUUUCUUAGGUACUGCUGUUCUUCUUGUUUCUUAAGAUGACUGGGAAUUUUGAACAUUUCACAUAAGGUUUUUUUUUUUAAUAAGCUUGAGACUGUCUAAGGAUGUGUAAUGUUGUAUAAAAUUCAAAAAUAAAAUUGAAGGAUGCUUUCUCCUGUGUUGCUGGGAGGCAGCAGAGAGUUACCUGAGGAUUUGGAUGCUGUUGUAGAAGAGGCUUUUUGGUUUCUGUUGUUUCUGGGAAUAUAUGUUUGUGACGCUAAAGUGGAAAAUUUUUGUCAAAUAUAUUGUAUAAACAACGUCAGUGUUUUUUCAGUGUGCUAUUUCAGUUAUUAGUUGAGCAUCUUUAUUUGAAGUAUAACAUUUCAGGGGUUACUGGGGAUCAAACUCACGACCUCAUGCUUUUGCUGCUGAGCUAAAUCCCCAGCUAAAGUAUAACAUAUACCAUAACGUUAAUUUAUUUUAAAUACACAGUCCAGUAAUGUUUACUUAACUGUAGUGAUUAUGCAGUCAUUAACACAUCGUUUUAGAACAUUUCAGUCAUCCCCCAAAGAGCUCUACUGCCUGAUCUUUUUUAUUUCCCACUCCCAUCCAUAGCCCUGAACAACUUACAUUUGCAUUUUAUCUAAAAUUCUCUUUUCUGGAUACAUUACAUAAAUAAAAUAAUAUAAAAUUAGGACGUGACUGGCUUUCAUUUGGCAUGGUUGGGAUUCAUCUGUGUUGUGUAUACCAGCAGGUCAUUUGUUUUAUUGUUGUUAUCAUUAUACUUUUUGAUUGCUAUUGUUAAUAUUUUGUGUUAGAACAGAAUGCUAAAACUGGCUUAUGGAAUUACAGAUUACUGUACUAUUCCAUAGAACUUUCUGUGGCAAACAUUUGCAGUAGCACUAGGUAGGUGGAAUAAGAGGCUGGAGGGAUGGAGGGGAGGCAACAGGUUGCCUUGGGUCUCAGGCCGUGCAGACAUCGUGUGAGUAAGCUGUAAGGGAUGGCAGACACUGACCAGGGAAUCUGCAUAAUUGAGUGGGAUUGGUAUUGCCAGCUUGUAUGUUUAUCCCAUCUGAUUAGGACCCUCUUGAAGCAGGUCUAUCCUGUGUAUGAUUUUGGCACUAGUGUCUGUCUUACAUACAGUGUCAUUCACAGGGAGGCAGAGGUAAAUGGUGAGCAAACCAUUGAAUUUUAUCUCUAAUUGUGGAUGUCUUGGUGAUUCAACAUAGCCGUAAGUUUUUCUCUUUACUUUUAUGUAGAUCUGCUCUACUUGGCCUUACACACUCAAUAACCAGCCCUCCUUUGUGACUACCACCAUACAUAUCUUUGAAAUAAAGAUUACUCUUAACUUUUGGUCAAACACAAAUAUUUUGUGGAAGCCACAGGAUGUUUAGUUAAUAAAAUAAGCAUCACUAUAAACCCUGUUUGACCGAGACUGUACUUCAUGCCUCAACUUUACAAACAGAGGGGAGCCUCUGUACUCUUCUAUCCUCAGCUCUGGCAGCUGCUCAUCUGGACAAAGGAACAGAACAUGAUGCUGGCACCGGUGCUGGGGAGCGGCCCCCCGGGCGGGCCUCUGCUCUGGCCCCUCCUGGGGCCCGCACUCUCGUUCCGGGCCCGCCCCACCUCUGCCCUUGACAUGGACCACGAAGAGAUGGUGCAGGAAUGCUCCAGGGCUGCCCUGUUCUUCUGCAGCCAGUCAUCCAUCAACGGGACAGCUGAGAAGUUGUAUGUCCCUCAAGCCGUGCAUCUGCCUAUAUCCUAGCUCUCAGUCUUUUUCAUCAGACUGUAAACUCUUAGUGGACAGAGCCAUUGUUUAUCAUUGCUUUUGUAUGCAGGGCUUACUGCAAUGCUUUAUACAUUAGUACUUGUUGAAUGAUCUGUUUGAAAUCAGAGAUCUUGGAUAGGAAGUUAGAAUGUAUCUUGAUUAUUAAUGGUUGUUUAACCGGAAGAUACAAAAUGUUAUCUCAAAGUGGAUGCAAAGUGUUAUCCUAAUACUUUUAGAUCCAUAGUACUUUAUUGUACAGCUGUACAUUCAGAAUCUUCUUGAAAGUCAGCGAAAUUAAUAUUAACUUACUUAGCCAGGGUCACUAGUAAGUGUCUUGGUACUGGAAUGAAACUGAUGUCGCAGUUGGGAGAGGUUCCUUGUACUUACUCUGCUAAGCAACCCUUUCUUCCAUGUGGUCUUUGCCAGCUGCUCGGAGUAUCCUUUCUCUUUGCUUCCAGAGCUCUGUAUAUGCUGCCUUCUGCGUGGAGCACUCCCUUUUAUGUAUCUUCUCAUCUUUUUAGGCUCAGAUGAGAGAUCGUUUAAUUCUAGGAAGCCUUCCAGAGCAUAUUUAUUAACUUAAGUGUUUAGAUUUUCCUUUAUGCUCACUUACUAUGUUCAUCUGUUAAUAUUGCUAUUCCAUCUGUUUUAGGGGGCUGUUUGAGGGCAUAUAUUGGGUGUGCCUCAUAUGUUUCUAUUCAUUUGUACUUCAGUUUGUAAGGUAAAAUUACUAAUAUUUCUGUAUUCAUUCUGAUAAUCACUGCUUUUAAUAGGUGAUUUUAAUCCACUUACAUGUAUUGUGAUUACUCAUAUAUUUGACUUUAUUUCUGUUGUUUUAUUUAUUUCUAUGGUUCAUUUUUAUUCGUAUUCUGGUUUGUGUAUGUACCUGCUUUCUGUUAUAUGACUUUUUAUUUUUCCUGUGCUAUAGGUUGUAUUUCUUUUCUUUCUUUUUUGGAUUUCUAUUUUUAAAUUCAAAAUUUUGUCAGUAAGAUCUAGAAUUAUUCAGUAUUUUUUCCUCCUAUCUCAAAGUCAUUAACAUGGUUAAUUAUCACAUAAAUAUUCUCUUACCUAUAUUACUUUUUUUUAAGAGUUUAAGUUGCACUUUUUAAAACCUUCAUACAUUACUAUUUCAAUAGUUAAUGUUUCACACUUCAACAACUUCCUCGGUAAUUUGUUUCCUGUAUCCCAAGGAUUUUCUGUGUGUCUACUCUUCUUGCUCAACUGCAUCCUGUAAGAAAGAGCUCACUUAAGUGAUCCUCGACAGUGGUAUUAUUUCAUUGUCUCCCGACCUCUGUUGGAGCUGCUGAGAAGUGUGCUCUCAGUCUAUCAUUCCAUUGAGGUAAUCUGUUUUUCUUCCUCUGAUAACUUAAAAUUGUGUUUUUAUUGUUGGUAAUAUAUGGUUUAUCUACAGUGCAUCUAAUGUGAAUCCUUGUUUGUGCAGUCUAAUGCUGUUUUUGUCAAGUUAUAACUAGCAUAAGAUAUGAGCUACCUUAUACACACACACACACACACACACACACACGCACACACACACACGUAUCCCUGUUACCACCACCUCGAUCGAGAUCUGGAGAACACCUAACAUGCCGCAAGGCUCUUUUGUAGCCCUUCCUGAUCAAUAUAGCCAUUCAAAAACAUUUUCAUUAUAAACAUAAGUAUCUGUAGUUCUGAGGGAUUCUCAGCAGUGCUUUCUUCAUGUAUUGAUUUUCUACCAGUUCCUCCUUGCUCUCUUUUCCCCUGGAACUCUGUUAGGCAAGCAUUGUGGCCUCAGUUUUUGUCCUUUAGCUGCUGUUUUCUUUUCUUAAAGAUUUUUAAAAAUUUUUAUCUGUUUCUUUUAAGUUCUGGAUAGUUCCUUGGUGCUGACUUCCCGAUGUCACUGUUUUGCUGUGCUCCAUCUGUACCAUAUCCCACUUGUUCCUUUAUUAACAGUGAUUUAAUUUUUUAUUUCUAAAAUUUUGAAUUUCUUUUUUCUUUCCUACUUGGUCCUGUUGUUUCAUGUCUGUACAUCAUCAUUAUAUUUUUAUUUCUUCUUAUUGUGAUAGCACUUUUACCUUUGUUUACUAUUUAGCAUCCUCCAGAUACUUAUUCUUGACAGAUUGCACUAAAUGAAUUGCUUCUACAAUCAGUUCCAGUAUAGUUAUUUAUUGUGUGUCUUGCUUUUUUUGUAUGAGAUUUCAACAUGUGCUAUAACACUGUUUUGCACCUUACUUUUGAGUAGAAGUUUUUUGUGUGUCAGUGUCUUCCUUCUGUCUCAUUUCAUACCUUCUCUGUAUCUGUCCCCCUCUCUGGAUUUUGCUGUUGAUAUUGGGGAGAUUGUCAGUUAGGAUCCUGAGCCCAAGAGUGGCUUGAUACACUUCUUGGGAUAGAGGCAGUGAUUUUCUCCCCCAUCUUCCUAUACCCACAGUCUCUGACUAAAGCCAAAACCUCAGUCAACAGAAUUUAAUUGCUUGUUCUCUCAGCCUUGGCUUAGAAAUAGAACCCUGACUUUGCUCUGGCUUCAAGUGAUAAAUCUGGUUUAAAUCCCCUAGGUCGACCAGGCUACUUCUAGUUUCCUUUACUUUCCCAAAGAAACCUUUUUACCUUCCUUCCCCACCACACAUUGUUUCUAGAUCCGGAGAGCAGCAUGUCUGUAAUAUCAGGUUCUGCUCAAAUUUUGGAAUUUUUCUAUCUUUUCUUUCCCGAAAGUGGUUCUUACUAGGCUUUACUGUGUAUUUGAGUUUCUCUUUUUAUUCAUUUAUGCUGUGCAAUAAUGACAAGUUUCUGGUUUCUGAAUUUACCCUAAGAUGUUACCAAAA